rnacentral:rRNA from 1 species
AACGAACGCUGGCGGCAUGCCUAACACAUGCAAGUCGAACGAGACCUUCGGGUCUAGUGGCGCACGGGUGCGUAACGCGUGGGAACCUGCCCUUAGGUUCGGAAUAACUCCCCGAAAGGGGUGCUAGUACCGGAUAAUGUCUUCGGACCAAAGAUUUAUCGCCUUUGGAUGGGCCCGCGUUGGAUUAGCUAGUUGGUGGGGUAAAGGCCUACCAAGGCGACGAUCCAUAGCUGGUCUUAGAGGAUGAUCAGCCACACUGGGACUGAGACACGGCCCAGACUCCUACGGGAGGCAGCAGUGGGGAAUAUUGGACAAUGGGCGAAAGCCUGAUCCAGCAAUGCCGCGUGAGUGAUGAAGGCCCUAGGGUUGUAAAGCUCUUUUACCAGGGAUGAUAAUGACAGUACCUGGAGAAUAAGCUCCGGCUAACUCCGUGCCAGCAGCCGCGGUAA